rnacentral:rRNA from 1 species
GACGAACGCUGGCGGCGUGCUUAACACAUGCAAGUCGCACGGGACCCGCAAGGGUUCAGUGGCGGACGGGUGCGUAACACGUGAGGAACAUGCCUAUCGGCGGGGAUAGCCGGCCCAACGGCCGGGUAAUACCGCGUACGCUCAUCCGGGGGCAUCCCCGGGUGAGGAAAGCAGCAAUGCACCGAUAGAGUGCCUCGCGGCCUAUCAGCUAGUUGGUGGGGUAAUGGCUCACCAAGGCGACGACGGGUAGCUGGUCUGAGAGGAUGAGUCAGCCACAUUGGGACUGAGACACGGCCCAGACUCCUACGGGAGGCAGCAGUGGGGAAUCUUGCGCAAUGGCCGAAAGGCUGACGCAGCGACGCCGCGUGUGGGAUGACGGCCUCGGUUGUAA